UUGGACCAGAUUGACAAUCAACAGAAAAAACAGCUAUCUCUUGCUUCAUUCUCGGAAGGAGGUCAUAGUAAGGCAGUCUGUAGAUAAAGCAGAGUUUCAGGAUUCGAGUGUUG